CUAUCGAUACUUGCUCAGUGUACUUCCUCCUUGCGGGCGUCGUUGGUGUUAUAACCCUGUAGUUGUGUUUGCACACAGGGCGAGACUCAAAUAGGCUGUCAAUGGCGCUGUGAGACGUGACUCGAUCAGUGAGAUUUUUUAGGUUUUAAUUUAACCUGAGACAGAGAUAACCCGCCUUUGACUAAAACAAAAGCGCUACUCGUUUCCCAUACUAGAUGUUUUUAAAUAGCAGGACAGUUUUAUAAUUAGAUUUCUAAUUUGCUGUAGUUUAUAUAGGCUACAUGUGAUGUGGAAUGAGAUUUAAUUAUUUUAUAUAUAUGAUUGUUUAUUUUGAGAUUUAUUUCACCCGCGCGCGCAACGUCCACGAGUCUCUUUCCAAGGCGGUUACAUCACCUGCGCACACAUUAGUUGAACAAACAGACAGAAAUUAGUAGGCUACUAACAUAAAUAUAAAACAGUGAUUGAUUAAUGAAAGUCGGUUUAGUCACACAGUUCUGAAAUCUACUCUAAAAUAUUUUAUAACCUAAUUUUACCAUCAAUAAGAGCACAAUAUAAUAAUAUAAAAAUAAUAUUAAAUGAAAAUAAUAUUAUUAAAGGAAUUUCCCACUAUACUUUCAAUGCCCGUUUCAAUUUUCCAGUGUUGAGUGCCAGUUUAGGUUUUAUUGCAGGGCGUCACAGUUCCGUCUCAGGGUGGCAGUAUUGCUAAGUAAAUAAACAGGUUUCACAAUCAAGUUGAACAAAAAUCCAUGAUUUAACAAAAAAGACAUUGUAAAUUGCUAGAAAAUCUUUAAUAUUGUAUGUAAAGCAAGCUUAAACAGUACUAAAGUUACUCGAUUUAUACAUACAAGUAUAAUAGGCUAAUAUUUGGAAUCAGAAGUUCUUAUAUUACACAAGUAUUGACAUUCUGAGUAAGGCAGGGCGAUAUCAGUGGUGAUAGUCUAUCUAUGCACUGUAGACUAUGGUGAAGGGUGACUUAAUAAAGGGAGGAGCAAAGAAACAGGAGGGACAUUUAGUGGCUGCUGAAAUUUGGUUACUAAGAGAUUUAUUGCAGAUCCAUAUUUAAUGACACGGAAUCAUACAAAUUUACAGCUAGGGAAGAAGAUAAAGAGAGGUGGAGAGUUCAGAGAGUUCUGCAUCAUAUCACAUGAUCAAAUAAUGUUCAAAAGUAACAUCAAAAUAUAAAAUGACACCUAUAAUGCUAUUCCAAUAAUGCUUUUUUUCGGUAUAUGGUUGAAAAUACUAUCCUGAUCAUUUCUCCAAUAUAAUUCAACAAUACUUUUCACUCACAUGUUUUGAAGAUUACAGAUGCAGUACUUUUGUUUGAUUACUUGAAACUUGCUUCUGGUUUUUGUGUGACCUGCUUCGUCUUGCAGAGCUGGUAUGGCCUGUCUUGAGGUUUUUGAAGGCGAUGUUUGGUUUUCACGAGACAACUGACAGUUGAAUAAGGCAAAAAAGCUGUGGCUGUCAAAAUGUGCCUGCUAACGUAUGCCAGCACAGAUGUGGUGUGGGUUCGUGAUGGUGUUAUUUUAGAUAAUGAACUGAGUUUUAAGUCUUACUAAUACUGUUUCAUACAAAAUCCAUGCUUCUGAUCACUGGUGGAUGCUAAGAAAUUGAUUCAUGGAUCCAAGAGAGUCUGCCUUACAUAUUGUUUUAGUUCAUUUAAAAUGGUUGGCGUAUAAGCAUAGGAUUGAUUUUAAGGUUUUUACUGGUUUUUAAAGUAUUAAAUGCACUAAUACUAAUAUGUGACCCAAAUCAUUGUUUGUUUGUUUGCACCAUACAAUGUAAAGAAUUACACUAUAGGCCAUUAUGUUCCAAAAUCUGUAAAAAAAAAAAAAAAUUACAAAAAUUUCAUUAGAAUUAGACAAGCUCAAAAUAGUCACAUUUUUAAAAAGCUGAAGAUCCUUGUUUUAGUUUUUUAAUAAUAUAUGCCAGUGUAUUCCUUAUUAUAUUAUCCAUUAUUAUUUUAUCUUAUUUUAUAUUUAUCAUAUUUAUUUUUUUCUUACAUUUAUUUAAUUUUUCCAUUUAUUUGCUUUCUUUAACCAUCUGUCAAAAUGUGAUCCAAAUCCUAGUUUAUUUAUCACCAUACAAAGUAUCACAAAGUAGGCCUUCCUUAUGCCACUGUAUUCAAUUUAUAUUUGCUUUUCCAAUAUCUAAAAUUAAAGUUUUUUUUAAUUAAUUGAUUAAUUAAUUAACUAUUGUUGUUUUGAUCAUUAUUAUUAUUAAUAUUGUUGUUGUUGUUGUUUUUUUUUUAAGUUUUCAUACACAUUAAGCACUUUGAACUGCAUUUAUGAAAGAUACUACUAUACAUAAAUUUACCUGUGCCCCAAUGAUGAAUGCCAUUCAUUCAUUAACCUUGAUCAUCCUUUUCAUGUUUUUAUCAAAUUCCCCUUAAUUCAAAUAUCCAUGAGCCAAACACUAAUAAACAUACACAUCACCCAUGACCCGUUGUCAUGGUAUAGCAGCGUCAUUAUCAGUAGAGCAUGAGCUGCUUUAAUUUAUGUUUGUAGGUGACACAAAGCUUCUCUCCCAUGAGCACGUCGACCAAUUCAUAGCACGCGUUGUUCUUAGAAUGUUCCUUUGUUCCCUCCUACUAGACUCUAAAUUUACCCACCAGAGACAAAAGGUAGCGUGAUAAUUAACUGCAUGUCACUGCUGUCGAGGCCCUGAAACGCGAGACACCCUCUGCCCAUUGUUGUGUCCAGUUUAAAGCAGCGGCGGAGUGACAUCACUUGGUGAUGUCAGAGGGCGGAACUGGACCGCCAGUUCCCCUGUGAUUGGUCACAUCAUGUGGCACCUGGGAAGACAACAGGUAUAAGAGAUGAAUGCUCGGUCAAGGCAGGCAAAAUUGUACGCAUAAUUCUGCAGCAUCCCUGGGACGCCUGAACUGACUUGGUUACCAUGGCAACAGUUGUACCAUGUGCGUCCUGCUAUGGCAGCAGCAGUGUUCAGCUCUUUGGGAGGGGGCCUGGUGGCGAUUACAUGUCCCUUUUCAGUUACAGAGGGCCCAGAGGGGCCCCUCGCCCACGUCUGGCCUGCCACGCUCCAAAGAUGACACUGCGUCAGAUUUGUCGCAUGUUGCGUAUAAUGCGGCAGCUGCGCAAUAAAGAAGCAGCAGCAGCAGCAGCUACAGCCGCCAGAAAACAGACCUCUCCUCCCAGCUCACCAAUGAUUAAAUCGGAAAAGCGUUGCUUACCUGCCUGUUUUCGUCGUAGACGUAGUAACAAUAUAAAAAGAGUGAGUUAAGCGUCCAGCGUCUCCAAAACCUCCCAACAAAUUCAGCCUUGUGGGAGUUUACAAACUGGGCAAUGGAGCCAGACCUCACUCUACACAGAAGACGUAAAGUGAGGGACCAAGACAUCGUUCUACAAUCUUGUUGGAUUGUUGGGAGGAUUUAACAUGCAACAAAUCUGGUUUUAAUUGGAAAGAAGCAGCUCUUUAGAUGCCCUGAGUGCUGGAACUCUACAUAUCUUACAUUUCAUAAUGACACAGGAGGUUUUUUUUUUUUUUUUUUACAUGAUUCUUUUUUUUCUUGGACGUUUGGACUUGAAUUGUGAAAUCUAUGAAAUUCCAGUGGGGUCAAACAGUUUUGUGUGCUUCUAUCUGUAAUUAAACCAGUGGAAAGUCCUCAUCAGGUGGGAAAUACGACACAGCUAUUUGUUUGUUUAUUUAUUCAUCUGUUUGUUUGUUUGUUUGUUUCUGUGUGGGAAGGGGGGCGCAAGGUUCCCUCUCUCUCUCAAAGAGGUGUGAUGGAAACUUAGCUACCGGUGUGUAUUACCGUGUUGAAACUAAAACUGUGUGACAACAUUGUCAAUUUACUGAUUUCCAAUUUAUAUGCAUUUGAAUAAGCUUUCAAUAA